rnacentral:rRNA from 1 species
GACGAACGCUGGCGGCGUGCUUAACACAUGCAAGUCGAACGGAAAGGCCUGCUUUCCCUUGUGGGUUGCGGGUGCUCGAGUGGCGAACGGGUGAGUAACACGUGAGUGAUCUGCCCCCAACUUGGGUAUAAGCCUGGGAAACUGGGUCUAAUUCCCGAUAGGACUGCAGGGUGGUGCCUGUGGUGGAAAACGAUUUUCUAGUGGUUGGGGAUGAGCUCGCGGCCUAUCAGCUUGUUGGUGGGGUAAUGGCCUACCAAGGCGGCGACGGGUAGCCGGCCUGAGAGGGUGGACGGCCACAUUGGGACUGAGAUACGGCCCAGACGCCUACGGGAGGCAGCAGUGGGGAAUAUUGCACAAUGGGCGGAAGCCUGAUGCAGCGACGCCGCGUGGGGGAUGACGGCCUUCGGGUUGUAAACUCCUUUCGACCGCGAGGAAGCCACCUGGUUGGAAGGGUGGUGACGGUAGUGGUAGAAGAAGCACCGGCUAACUACGUG